GAUUGGAAACUUCCGUUCGCGGCUGGAAAUGCUAGUUACCUAUACCGUAUUAAUUUUAAGCCAAUUUGCUCUAAUUAAUCGUAUGUAAAAUUGAAAUUGGCUGGAGAAGUGAAGCAGAUAACCCUUCGAUAAUGUAGAGGGACACUCUUUCUACUUGCCCAAGUAGUUUGCUGUGGCAAUCAUGAUGUUUGCAGUUGGAAUUCAUUGUUAAUCAGCACUGUCAAUCAUUAAUCACCAUAUUACAUGUUUAAUUGUA
rnacentral:lncRNA from 1 species